UGAACGCUGGCGGUAGGCCUAACACAUGCAAGUCGAACGGCAGCACAGUAAGAGCUUGCUCUUAUGGGUGGCGAGUGGCGGACGGGUGAGGGAUACAUCGGAAUCUACCUUUUCGUGGGGGAUAACGUAGGGAAACUUACGCUAAUACCGCAUACGACCUCGGUGAAGCAGGGACCUUCGGGCCUUGCGCGGAUAGAUGAGCCGAUGUCGGAUUAGCUAGUUGGCGGGUAAAGGCCCGACCAAGGCGACGAUCCGUAGCUGGUCUGAGAGGAUGAUCAGCCACACUGGAACUGAGACACGGUCCAGACUCCUACGGGAGGCAGCAGUGGGGAAUAUUGGACAAUGGGCGCAAGCCUGAUCCAGCCAUACCGCGUGGGUGAAG
rnacentral:rRNA from 1 species